GAUGAACGCUGGCGGCGUGCCUAAUACAUGCAAGUCGAGCGAACGGACGAGAAGCUUGCUUUUCUGAUGUUAGCGGCGGACGGGUGAGUAACACGUGGAUAACCUACCUAUAAGACUGGGAUAACUUCGGGAAACCGGAGCUAAUACCGGAUAAUAUUUUGAACCGCAUGGUUCAAAAGUGAAAGACGGUCCUGCUGUCACUUAUAGAUGGAUCCGCGCUGCAUUAGCUAGUUGGUAAGGUAACGGCUUACCAAGGCAACGAUGCAUAGCCGACCUGAGAGGGUGAUCGGCCACACUGGAACUGAGACACGGUCCAGACUCCUACGGGAGGCAGCAGUAGGGAAUCUUCCGCAAAGGGCGAAAGCCUGACGGAGCAACGCCGCGUGAGUGAUGAAGGUCUUCGGAUCGUAAAACUCUGUUAUUAGGGAAGAACAUAUGUGUAAGUAACUGUGCACAUCUUGACGGUACCUAAUCAGAAAGCCACGGCUAACUACGUG
rnacentral:rRNA from 1 species